AGUGAACGCUGGCGGCAUGCCUAACACAUGCAAGUCGAACGAGCUUUGGCAGUUUAUCGUCAGAGUUAGUGGCAAACGGGUGAGUAAUACGUGGACAAUCUUCCCUCGAGCGGGGGAUAACUCCGGGAAACCGGAGCUAAUACCGCGUGAGACCACGUCCUGGCAUCAGGAUGAGGUUAAAGCUCCGCAAGGGGCGCUUGAGGAGGGGUUCACGGCCUAUCAGCUAGUUGGCGGGGUUAAAGCCCACCAAGGCGACGACGGGUAACCGGUCUGAAAGGACGACCGGUCACAAUGGCACUGAGACACGGGCCAUACUCCUACGGGAGGCAGCAGUGGGGAAUUUUGCGCAAUGGGGGAAACCCUGACGCAGCGAUGCCGCGUGGAGGACGAAGGUCUUCGGGAUUGGUAAACUCCUUUUUGUCGGUGAAAAACAUUUGCGUGAAUACGUAAACUGAUUGUAUCCGGCGAAUAAGCCACGGCUAACUUCGUGCCAGCAGGGAAGAAAAUGACGGUACCUGACUAAGAAGCCCCGGCUAACUACG
rnacentral:rRNA from 1 species